CAUCGCUUCAGGGCGGGGUGUGAUUCCCCACCGGUGGUAAAAUUGAAUAUUAUUAUAUAUUUAAUAAGCCCACGAGCAAAUUCAAAACAUCAUUUGCAGAUUUGGUGAAAUUCCAAAGCCGACGGUAUAGUCCGGAUGAAAGAAGACGGUG
rnacentral:ncRNA from 2 species